UUGACCAUUCAUUAAAGUAAAGUAUAUGAAACAUGUAUAUGGUGUGCGUCGGGGGCAGUCGCGUAGUAGAAUAUUAAACGUGUUUAAUAUUUCUCACGACGGCUAAAGACUGUCCCCGACGAGAAAUCGGGUCGAGCUGCGUCGAUCGACGCUGUCUGGGUUGGCCUUAGUAAUAGGCCUAUACCAAAGCCACCACUAUCUAUACUACUACCACUACUACCUGUAGGCCUACCAAUUUAACUGUUCCCUGGGCGGGUGGGUCCUACUUAUCGAGAGUACUUAGCCUAUAGGUAGUGAGAUUAGAGGCUAACCUAAAAUUAUAGGCAGACCUAUGUUAUCAUUAAUAUUAGAUGCCAUUAUGCAUGCUAUGUCAGAACUAUUGAUAUUUUAUAAUUAGGUCAAUUUGUAUUGUUUUUAUUUUAUUUUUUUUUUUUCAAUAUUCUAGUAUGUUGAAAACAUAUUAGAAGAUAGUAGGCAGAAAAGUGAGGAAGGUGAAAGCACAUUGCCAGUACCUUGCAACAAUUGAAAAUGCAUCAUUUCAUUUAGCCUUGUUUGUUAAAGAAUAUCAGCAGAGCAGAAACUUGCAGGAUAAUUCAAAAACAUCCACUACAAAGUGCAGAAAAAAAGGGACAAAGUCUAAACGCUCAAUGCGUGUGCAAGUUGGCUAAAAAAUGUGUACCAAAGAAACUCAAACUGGUCGGAUAGUGAUGACAGGGUCAGUGAUUUGUCGAAGGGUCCAGUUGAGCAAAUGAAGUUUAUUGUCUUUGAGAACCAGCUCCUAGAAUUAUUCAGCAAAUGUCC